rnacentral:lncRNA from 1 species
UAUUUUUUGGUGGAUGAGUGGUGGUUGCUGGGUAGGGAGGAGGGUGGUGGGUGGUUGUCUCUGAUUUGGAGUUCUAGGUUCGUUGGGAAGGGGGUCUAUGAAAUUUUUUUUUUCCUUCUCUUUUUCUAAAUUUGCUGGCUUAUGGGGAGGAGCUGGGGUUCUAGGUUCAUGGGGCCUAGCCUGGAGGGUGGUUGUGGGAUGGGUUUAGGCGUUGGAGCUUAAGGGUGGUGAUCAUG